rnacentral:snRNA from 1 species
UCGCUCAGGUCCUUCCUCAGCUGGUCGCAUCAAUCUUUCGACUUUUACUAAAGAUUGCCGUGGGGCAGGACACUCUAAUGAGCCUAUAGGCCAAUUUUUGGGAGGCCUUGCCCGUUUGGGUGAGGC